GUCAAAUUUCCGUUAGAUCGUAAACAGCGUUGGCCGGGAUGGAUUCGCACUAAAUGAAAUUUAUAACAUUCGUUUUAAAUAAAAUGUUCUAUUACGAAACGGUGUUAUAGAAUCAGAAAUGACGUCCCGGUCAGUUGCGAGACGCAACAUUAUAAAUUUCAUUUAUGGCACACUAGAUCGACGGUAGCAAACAAAAGGCUGCGUUGGCAUGGAGAAAUCAGCGUCAGCAGCAAAACAAUAGCUACCAGCGAUGGCCGUAGAUAUUAGCGGAAGUGAAACCUUUAUCGGGACAUAGAAGUCGUUCAACAAGGGUGGAAGAAACUCGAUCGUUGUGAAAGUCGGCUGGAGGCAACUAGAGCUGCUUGGACUACCGAAAACGAACUGGGUACGCUAUAUGCGUAGAAUUCCAAAAUGUGUGUGUCGUCUGGAGCAGCAACAAAGCAGCCAGUUUAAGCGAAACGCGGAACUUUCCAACAAACGAAAUCUUCACCACCUAUGAACACUUGUUUUGUUUAAAUAUCCUAUGUGUAAGAUUGAUUAGUUCCAAAUGAGCUUUAAGUGUUGUGCAACCAUGGUCGUGAAUCAAUCGGUGUAGUGAUAGUAAAAUAAAGCCCAAUAACUUCAUUGUACUGGGGGGGAAUGUUGCGCAUAAUGCGCGCACCUCUUGGUUCACUAAUCUUGAUCUUGCUCUAAUCUAUCAACAGGCCUACGCUGUCAAAUUUCCGUUAGAUCGUAAACAGCGUUGGCCGGGAUGGAUUCGCACUAAAUGAAAUUUAUAACAUUCGUUUUAAAUAAAAUGUUCUAUUACGAAACGGUGUUAUAGAAUCAGAAAUGACGUCCCGGUCAGUUGCGAGACGCAACAGUAAUGAAUUGUAAAAUGAUUGUAGAAUAUUAAAAACUCGAUUGUACAUUGUCACUACUACUAACAAUUCUUCGCAACAUUCUCAGCUCUCAUACAAACAUAUUAA